rnacentral:rRNA from 1 species
CGCGCAGGUGGUUUCUUAAGCCUGAUGUGAAAGCCCACGGCUCAACCGUGGAGGGUCAUUGGAAACUGGGAGACUUGAGUGCAGAAGAGGAUAGUGGAAUUCCAAGUGUAGCGGUGAAAUGCGUAGAGAUUUGGAGGAACACCAGUGGCGAAGGCGACUGUCUGGUCUGUAACUGACACUGAGGCGCGAAAGCGUGGGGAGCAAACA